rnacentral:siRNA from 1 species
UCGUCAACCCGAAUGCGCUUAC